rnacentral:rRNA from 1 species
AUUGAACGCUGGCGGCAGGCCUAACACAUGCAAGUCGAGCGGAGCGGCGGACGGGUGAGUAAUGCCUAGGCAUCUGCCUGGUAGUGGGGGAUAACGUCCGGAAACGGGCGCUAAUACCGCAUACUCUCAGAUGAGCCUAGGUCGGAUUAGCGAGUUGGUGGGGUAGAGGCCUACCAAGGCGACGAUCCGUAACUGGUCUGAGAGGAUGAUCAGUCACACUGGAACUGAGACACGGCCCAGCCUACUACGGGAGGCAGCAGUGGGGGAUAUUGCACAAUGGGCGAAAGCAUGAUGCAGCGACGCCGCGUGGGGGAUGAAGGCUUUCGGGUUGUAAACCUCUUUCGCUAUCGAACGGGUAGGUGGAGAAGAAGCGCCGGCUAACUACGUGCCAGCAGCCGCGGUAAUUC